GGUUGUGAUAAGGUGGACUUCAAUGAUCUGGUUCUUGCACUUCACUUGGUGGUAUUAAUAUUUUCAUGCUGUUCAUAGGGUUUGUAAUCCAAGUGAUGUAUAUAUAUACAUAUAUAUAUAUAUACAUUAUGUAUAUAUAUACAUUAAUACCCCACCAAGUGAAGUGCAAGAACCAGAUCAUUGAAGUCCACCUUUUCACAAC
rnacentral:miRNA from 1 species